rnacentral:SRP_RNA from 1 species
CGGCGGGUCUAGGCGGGGGGCUAGGGGUCCCCUGAGGGAGGCCCUGGUGGCCUCCCGACCGCAAACCCCCUAUACGGCGGGCCGAAAACCAGGGCUGAGGCGUCCGAGCCCGUCCCGAACCCCGCCAGGCCCGCAAUGACCAUCCGCCCUCCGGGGUCCACGGAGCAGGGUAAGCCCCUCGUAGGAGGGGCUGGACCUGCUCGCCGGGGAACCGGGUCAGGCCCGGGAGGGAGCAGCCCUAACCCGGACGUGGACGCUCGGAGGUCCCGGGUGCGAGAUGGGAUGGCGGGGGUAGGGGCGGGGGAACUCGGACGUCGAACCCUGGGACCCGCCG